GGAAGCUCCCGGUGCCGGCGGGGGCGCGGCCGGGCAGCCUCGGCGGCUCCCCGCGGGGAGGCGGGCGGGCCGUGCCGCCGCUCCGGGGCAGGCAGGCAGGCAGGCACUUACUUUGCCGGAAUGAUUUACUAGCCUGGUGAAAAGUGAAAUAAAAAUCUCACAUGUCGGCAAAACAGGAAAUAUAAGUGCAUGGACAUAACAGCCAGAGGAUGCAGGUCUCCUCCCUAUCCCAUGGGGAAGGGGGCAGUGAGCGAGCAGUUGCCUGGUGCUUAGCUGCCAGCCAGGGUUAAACCACAACAUCAUGUUAACUUUCAGAUCAGCUCUGGAAUAUUUUUUGAGAGUGGUAGCUGCUGCCGAUCCCUGUUUGGAUUGUGUCUGGGGGCAUGAAGAGGCACGAACUGCACGGAACAGUGACUCUGGGCAGUAAAUCAAACUUUGUCAUGGACAAUGAAAACAGGCAACAAACUUCUCUACAUUUUAUAUAUUCUUCAAUCUCAUUGUUGCUGAGCUCUUUCUGCAGUGUGUUUGAACACAAAAGCAGAGCAUUAAUAGAAGACUGAAAAAUAGAAAAUAAACCAUAAGUGGUAUAACCAGGGAAAUAAUUUGAGGGAGAGCCCAAGGAAUACCUGGUUUCAUUCAAUUAAAGAAAAAGCAGGGGAAAGAUCACUUUGUUCAAAAAUAGAUUUUCAAGGAUUUAAAUUCUUCAUAAAAGAACAGGGAAAGAUAGAGCACAGACACAUGUAAAGCUAAAACAUUUAGACAUCUGGCUGUUUCGUAUGAGCCAGAGUUUUGGAAUCACAACAGGCACAGCCUUUUCUUUAGAAAUUCCAGCACUUACACAGUUACUACUUGUAUUGCUUUUCUCAUAAUUUUAUCUCAAGACAUUAUAAUUAAGUAAAUUGCAUAUUGUCAACAUGCUUUAUAGUAAGGUAGCAAUUUUUAAACAAGUAGUAAAGAGGGGAUUAUAAAAAUGAGCUACAAGUCAUGCAGUCAUUGUUCACUCGGUGUUGCUGGAGAAAAUAAAAGCAGCAUAUUCUUUAGCAUUAAUUUUUUCAUUAUUUCCUUUCUUACUGUAACCUAUUAUUUUAAAGAAAGUCAUGUUGACCUAUAAGCAGAAUAUUUAUAAAUGUUGUUGUAAAUAUACUCUUCAUGUG